rnacentral:lncRNA from 1 species
CUGGCUCACUCUUGAAUUCCUUCCUGAGUGAAGCCUAAAACCUGCCCUACAUGACUUCUGCUAUACAUUUCAUCUCCGGACUGUUUGUGGCAAAUUGAUUGAAAUUAAGGUUAUUAAAGAACUGGACCCUCCGUUAUGAAACGUCUCAAAGUAGCACUGUAAUUCCUCUCUUACGUAUGGCAACUGGCAAUGUUAAACAUCAGGACUGUCUCCAUAUUGCAUUUUAUGGAUGCAGGCAGAAGACACAAGACUCCUGGGUCAGAGACAAAGGGCAUUAUUUCUCAGGACACAGGAAGCAUCAUGAGCAUCAGUAUGUUUGGGUCAGUUCUCUUCACCUACAAGUCCCACACGGAUGUUGCCGAUGGGGCUAGAUGACAUCUGCACAUUCAAAUAGCGAAGCAUCAGGAGCGUCUGCCAUGUUAUUCAGCUACUCAGCUUUGCUAGUGGCACUGUGGAUUAAAGACCCCCUGCUAACAUUGUAG